GCUGGAUGUGGUGGCGCACACCUGUGAUCCAGCUACUCGGGAGGCUGAGGCAGGAGAAUCGCUUGAACCCGGGGGGGCAGAGGUUGCAGUGAGCCAAGAUUGUGCCACGGCAUUCCAGCCUGGGGGGCAGAGGUUGCAGCGAGCCAAGAUUGUGCCACUGCAUUCCAGCCUGGGUGACAGAGUGAGACUCUGUCUCAA
ensembl:misc_RNA Metazoa_SRP Metazoan signal recognition particle RNA